rnacentral:rRNA from 1 species
GAUGAACGCUAGCGGGAGGCUUAACACAUGCAAGCCGAGGGGUAUAGUUCUUUCGGGAACUCGAGACCGGCGCACGGGUGCGUAACGCGUAUGCAACUUGCCCCACUGAAAAGGACAGCCAUUCGAAAGGAGGAUUAAUACUAUAUAACAGAUUUAAUGGCAUCAUUAGAUUUCGAAAGAUUUAUCGCAGUAGGAUAUGCAUGCGUAAGAUUGGUGAGUUGGUGAGGUAACGGCUCACCAAGACGAUGAUCUUGAGGGGGCCUGAGAGGGUGAACCCCUACACUGGAACUGAGACACGGACCAGACUCGGACGGGAGGGAGCAGUAAGGAAUAUAGGACGAGGAGUGGAAGCCUGAUCAAGCCGUCCCGCGUGUAGGAUGACGGCCUUAGGGGUUGUAAGCUACUAUUAUCUAAGGAUAGUCCAACUUACGAGUAAGUAGCUGACGGUACCAGAAGAGUAAGCACCGGCUAACUCCGUG